rnacentral:lncRNA from 1 species
GUUCCUCUUGCUAGCACUCUUUACUUUUGCAGUAACAUAAUACACACACACACCCUUUUAAUGUUAGAGGGGACUACCCUGUGUUUUCUGUUCCUGCCCACAGACUGCUUCUGAAGAAACUCCUUAUACCUGGACUUGCUGGAGGCGAUGGACGAUUGCUUGGAGAUUCAAGGAGACUAACUUCUUCUACAGCCCAUCCUCUGCUCCAGAAAGAGAAUGGGUGAAGUUGAAGAAGGAAGUUGACUCUAUCUGUGAAGAUCUGCUGUGUAAUGGAAAUUAUAUGGUGUUUUAGAGUGAAGAUGCAGUAACC